AACUAAUCAUCUAUUUGUUCGAAGAGAUACCCAGAAAAUACUGCAAAUAAGUCAGAAAUUUUGAGAAAAUAGAAUACCUUCUCACACAUGGAAACUGAAGAAAACCACACUACCACCACAGGAGCUCAUGCACCGCCGCACGCGCCGCCACACGUGCUACUGCCGAAAAACACCAAAAUUCCUCCUUUCAGUUGAAAAUCACCACAGAACCCUAAUGCACACCCUGAUCCGGAAUGACGCUCGUUGAAACGCCCUAAAUCACACGGAAAAAUGGAGAAUCGCUUGCUAUCGGGCGAUCUCCUCCGCCGCAGUUUUUCCUUCUUUGGCCUUCUGGUUUCAUGCAUAGAGUCAGCUAACCGAGCUCCUCUGUGCCUUCUUUCCUCGAACAGGAACCUAAGACGUUUGGAGAUGCUCUCCUUUGGCAAUCCUGCCACACGCACCCUCAAAUCGCCACGCGAACUACUUCCUCGACUUCUCCCACAUACACCGCUGUGCUGGCCACACUUUGAACUGACCGAAGAUCGGUAGUUAUCUUCCUCCAGCGUCGGGAAUAGGUUGUUCAACCCUUAUUUUAAUAUGAUGUAAGUUGACUCCUAAAAUCCUAACCCUAACCCUUAUUUUGAUACCAUAUAAGAUUUAAGGAAAGGAUUUC
rnacentral:lncRNA from 1 species